rnacentral:lncRNA from 1 species
UUAAAGGAAAGGUUCACCCAUUUCAAUGUUAUAUUGUUUUUGUGCAUCUCUGAGUGAUGUUCUGUCGAUUCUCUGGGUCAUUUCAUGUUUUCACAUGUAUCCGAGUUAGCAUUCAAGCAGACAGAAAUCCAUCCGGUAUGACGUAGCACUCUGAUAAAGUGGCUCUCGCUAAACUAGAAGUUCAUAGGAAUACGACUUUUAGAUUGCGGAAAAAAAUAUCCUGCCGUAAAUAACGACAAACCUCAAAUAAGUCCUUCUGGAAGUUCACUGAAUAUGUCGUUUUCGAAUGCCGAGGUUGCAUAAUCCUCACUGAUGGGGUUAUCUCCAAGUUAUUUAGAGAAUACAACCAUAUCCCGGAUUCGAAAGAUGAUGAAUGGCCUGAAGGGGAGAAGCCUGAAGACCCAGGAAGAAACCGACCAAGUUGUGGACCGUGGUACACAUUGUUUGCCUGCAUGUAUUUGGGGAGAAAUUCCCUCUCUGAAGAACAUGAAGAAGUUGGUGAGGAGGCACGGACAGAAGAACAACACGGCACCCCCUGUACCUACAUCCCUCUCCGAACUCGUCAUUCCUGAGAGCUGUUCCUCUAGCAUGAUAGUGGACCCAGGCCAGAAAGAAUUCUGAUCUUCACAACCACAAGCAACUUGGAAUACCUGUGUGACUUAAAGGACUGGUUUGCAGAUGGACCAUUCAAGACAAACCCUUGUCUAUUCAGCCAGGUGUACACCAUUCAUGGGUUGUAGUAGGGGAACAUAGCUCCAACAGUGUUUAUGUUGCUGCCCAAUAAGAUAGGGAACAUACGCUCUUGCCUGACCUGAAAAACUAGACUGACUUUGAGCCGGCGUGUUUGGCCUGCGGAUCCCUCUUUCACAGGAAACAGGCCUGUGUCGCAUGUCACUACCUCACAGGAGAGGCAUUUGAACAUAAAAAACAAACAUAUUUUCAUCAAAAUGCGUUUUUUUUGCAGAAAUGCCUUCUUGAACAUGUGAACUUUUUCAUGUGCCUUAAUAACAAACUCAUAUGUAAUCUGUAAAUAUAAUUUGAAAUCACGAAGAUGUUAAACCAUGAUUGGUUGAGAUAAUGAGGGAGCUGGGACAUUCUGCCACUUAAGCCUGCUCGGUCAAAUGGCACAAUACUGUUCUCUGCUACCGCGAAUAUUUGAAGGAUCCAUUGGAUUAACUAAUAUUUUCAUCGUGGACUACAUGUAAAGUGUAGCUACUGCUUUCAAUACCAGUGUUGUCCUGGAUACCGCUGCUACUAUCGACACAGCUCUGUCUUCUGUGCCUAAAGCAGUCUGGACUGGUUGAAGCCGAGUUGGACGGAUUCGUUUGAAAGCGUUUCAGAAAAGUCUGCUGUGAAUCAUCAUAAUCCAUAUAAUAUACCGCAUAAACCUGCUCUCCGCCACCAGUACAAGGAGAUGAUCGAAGGUGAACAGGCAACACUUGAGCCUGGUGUUGUUGUAGCCAAGGAGCUUUCACUCAGAUGGAACCAGAUAUCAGCUGCUGUACAAUGUUGAAGUCCUUCCUCCCAGAGAUGUAAAAGCAUCCCCCGGGCGAGACACAACCCGGCAAACAUAGAUUUUUGAGAAGAUCAGAACGUUUGCAAUGAAAAGGCCAUGGACAUUACAUGUCCUGCUCAAAGGCUAUAUUCCUUUCGUCAUAUCAUAACAUGACCUGAACCACAGUUACUCAAAAGAUCUUAUGAUAUAGGCCUAGGAGAUGAAAUGUUUAGAGAAUCCAUUUAGGCAAUUUGGUGAAAGUAUUCCUUUUCUAAAUAUACUGUAUGUUCUCCAAGGAUUAAUGUAGAUCAGGUGUGAAAAUUACAGCAAAAUGUUUGAAUACAGUGUAUGAUAUGCCCUUUUGAAGCUCUAGAAAACACAAUUUGAAAUGUUCUAACAUUUUAGUAAUCAAUAAAUACAAAAAAUGAUGGGGUAAAAAUAACAAAAGACGACAACAACAAAAGAAAUAGAAAGCUACAUGACAAUGCCGUGCCAUAAAAACAAGUUCAAACUUUCCACCGUGUUGAGGCGGCUCCGCACCUGUGUUGAGACUGCUGGGGAGAUGCGUUACCCAGAGCGAGGGAAAGUGCUCACUGCUCCACAGCAGUAGAAAGCGAGCCAAGGAAAAUACGGGGCGAGACCAUAGCAUCCCUGUCUGUUGAUGUAUGCCACCUUAUGGGAUAUAACUUGACCCAUGGGGGUCCCCAGUGACAACAGCCGCAAGUCCAUCCACAGUGCUAGAGCACGUAGACAGGACGGGGACACCCGUAGUGACCGGUUUAGGUGGCACGAUGUGUCCAAGCGAAUGUCUAUUCCCCACUUCCUUAAAAGGUUGCAUCAGCAACAGCCCGAAAGGAACCAUGGCUAUCAUAGAAGCCAUCAUCCCCAAUAUGCGGAGGCAGCCGAAAUUGAGCCAAGCAAAGCCGGAAACCGGUCUCCCUCUGCAAGGACAAGAACGCACAAUUCUCAACCGAGUCUAACUCAAGACCCAGAAACGGAAUGCGUUGUAGACUCAAACAUCUCUUCUAUUGAUUCACUAUGAAACCCAUAAACUGAACAUGGGAAACCAGCAUGGAUGUGUGUAACACCCCCUGCUCCCUUGACUCUGCUACCACCAGCCAAUUGUCCAGGUAGUCCAAUAUCCUGAGCCCCAGACACCGCAUAGGUGCCAAACUUGAGGCAAAGCCCGAAAGGGAGACUCGGGAACUUUCUGUGAGGGUAAUAUAUGGCCACUAAAGUACGCCGCCUCCAGGUCGAUGGAGGUGAACCAAUUGCCCCAGCGCACUGACUGUAACAACAGGCUGUUCGUGAGCAUUCUGAAUUUGUAGACACAGGUGUGCUUGUUUAGGACACACAGGUUUAAAAAGGGAUGCAAAGUCCAAACCAGGAAAUACCCGGCUAUACCAGCCGUCCUGGGCCUCUGACAUAGGAACCAUUCGGUUUGCCUGCUUCUGGAGAAGGGAAGAAAUCUCCUCCCUCAAAAUGGGCACUGAGGCCUCAGGAACAGUUGACAUAAUGAUGCCUUUAAAUCCUUGGGGAUGCACAAUGAAUUGUAGCCUGUACCCCAACGUCACUGUUUGCAUAAUCCAGGGCAACACUGCGCAUGCAAGCCAUUGGUCUACACAGACAGCGAGUCUCCCAUAAAGUGCCAUCUAAACGGGUUCAACGACGCCUUGUGGACUCUGAGAAUUUGAUUAUUUUUCCAUGCCUUUUUUAAUUUCCACAGACAGGUUUAUCACCUGUGGAAGGUGGGGCUUGCAAUGAGGCACGGUGUUCAUUGGCCUUAUCAGACGUGAUUCAAAUGUUCUUCAGUAGAGGGCGCUGGUGCGCGAACUCUCCCAAGCUGACUUGACCGGCUGAAAGUUGAACUAUCAUUGAGGACUAUGACCCUCCGAUGAGCUCCACAACUAGUCAUUCAUAUACCUUGGUUGCUUGUUGUUUGAUUUGAAAUCCCCACAGCUGUUAAGGUUUUUCCUCCAGAGGAAAACAUUUUUUUUUUACCAGAGGCUCCCAUAGUGCCAGGGAGCUGGGACUGGAGCACACCGUGUAGUCUGUGGCUGGCAGAGGGUUCAUAAUGCAGCCUGAGUUGUUGUUGUCUCACCGGAGCUCGCUGCUUCGCGCCUGCAAGGCUUCUGGGGCUGCUGAAUGUGGGAGUUAUUUCCUUCAAUGAUUUAUUAGGUUAUCUCUACACCAUUGCCCUGGGACUUCAAGUGGGCUGCAGAGUGAAGAAAUGAGAGGAGGCCUAAGCUUUAUCUUCCCAACACUCCUGUUCUGACUCGCUCACUUUGCAAAAAUGCAUAUUCACAUCACUAGCCUAAAACACACAUCAAAGCAUUACAUUAUUUUUUGAGGUGUAGGUUAUUCAUUUAACGAAUGAUUGCCUUUUGUAUUUCCAUAACGCUGUUAGACUGUAGCAAACAAAUUACACAUUCCGACGGUGUUACUUGGUCGGUUUCAAAGUGUAAUUCCCUCAUUGGUCACGUGUCUGUGCUGUUGUUUGGUCUAGACGGGCAGUGGAUGCCAUCAGAACAUUUACAAUGUCUGAGAGUCAACUUGUUCUCACAUUUCUGUUGAUUUGUGAGAGGUUUUAUUGUCAGAUUUUAUUGAAAAUGUUUUGCUCAUGGGUCAAAGUCUUUAAUAUUUUGCAUGAUAGUAACAUUACUCCCUGUAUUCUGUAAGGAUACUUUUUUAUAGUCGCCCUAUGUUUUUCAAUGGACAAUAAACAACGUAGCCUACCUUGACAGACAAAAAGAGCGUUUCAGAUGCUUCCCCUAUUUAGCCUUAAUCCAUGUGUAAGAUAGUAGGGCCAUUUUCCACAUGAGUUCAGUUUAUGCCUACCCAUUUAGCUGAUGAGUGAAUUGGAUUCCUCGGAACAUAUGCUUUUUGGUUUACUUUAAUUUGUUGAAGAGCUCUGUUAUUACUCCAUUUUCUAUGUAGUCUGUUGCUUCUGAACAUCUUGCAUCCAUACACAGUCAUCUGUGUCCUGGCAUAGGCUCCAAAUGUACUCAUGGGAGACUAUUUUACCACAAUGAUAAAGAAGUGCUUUGGAAUUUGAUUGUGUCAUUGUGUCUCUUGAUAACAUUUGUGCCUGUCUCCUCAUGAAUGAUUUCAUUGCCUGGGUGUGGGCCAUUGUUUUAUUUACAGAUGCCAAAAUGCAAAACGUGUCACUGCUUGACACCACAGGAAGUGAUGGAUUUUUCAUGCCACUUCACCCAUGUACUUAAACUGAGUCAUCAGCCAAUUAUAUGGUAGUACUGAAUCAUCUCUCUAAGUAGAGCACUUUGAAACACUGACCUGCAAUUACUUUAAUAGGUUAAUAUUUACUUUUGACCUGCAAUUAAUUUAAUAGUUUAAUAUAAUUCUCUCAUGAAAUAUAGUAUAUUUUUACAGUCAUUCAGAUGGUUUCAGCCAUAUUGUGUAUGGGAAAUCAAUACCCACAGUAUCAUUGGAUAAGAUAAUAAGAACGUCCAAAGUACAUCAAUAUGCUGCACACUAUUUUGGAUUACUCUGGAGCUUUUUGAGUACACAGUGUCCAGGUGCCCGACUCACUGCUGAAAAACAUGUUACUUCUAUCAACAUUAUCA